rnacentral:rRNA from 10 species
CAACAGGGAUUGCCCCAGUAACGGCGAGUGAAGCGGCAACAGCUCAAAUUUGAAAUCUGGCUCUCGGGCCCGAGUUGUAAUUUGUAGAGGAUGCUUUUGGUGAGGUGCCUUCCGAGUUCCCUGGAACGGGACGCCAUAGAGGGUGAGAGCCCCGUCUGGUUGGACACCGAUCCUCUGUAAAGCUCCUUCGACGAGUCGAGUAGUUUGGGAAUGCUGCUCUAAAUGGGAGGUAUAUGUCUUCUAAAGCUAAAUACCGGCCAGAGACCGAUAGCGCACAAGUAGAGUGAUCGAAAGAUGAAAAGAACUUUGAAAAGAGAGUUAAAAAGUACGUGAAAUUGUUGAAAGGGAAGCGCUUGUGACCAGACUUGGGCUUGGUUGAUCAUCCGGGGUUCUCCCCGGUGCACUCUUCCGGCUCAGGCCAGCAUCAGUUCGCCCUGGGGGAUAAAGGCUUCGGGAAUGUGGCUCUCUCCGGGGAGUGUUAU